CUUUUUGCUCCAAUAUCUGUCUGUCUGAUGAGGAAUGGCGGAGGGGGAGAGGGGAGGGAAGGGGGAGAUGGAGAGGGAGAGGGAGAGGAGGAGGAAGGUGGAGAUGGGGAGGAAAAAAUGAAGAGGGAGGUAGAAGAGGAGGAGAAACAACGGGAGAAAUAGAGUGAGGAAUGAGAGAGAGAGAGAGAGAGAGAGAGAGAGAGAGAGAGAGAGAGAGAGAGAGAGAGAGAGAGAGAGAGAGAGAGAGAGAGAGAGGAAGGAUGAUGAGACAAGGGUUGAAUGGGAGAAAAAUAUGAGUAUGGGGAAGAGGCAGAGGAACAAGAAGAGAAACAAGGAAGGGAGGAGGAGGAGGAGAAACAAAGAGGAUAGAGAGGAAGGCAUUAGAAAGGAUAGAGGAAGAGGAAGAAAGAUGAUUUGGGAAGGUUGGGGAGGAAGUAAAAAAAAAAAAAGAAAACAUUGAAGGGAAUAAGAUAUGAAGGGAAGAGGAGAAGGAGUAGGAGGAGGAGAGGAAGAAUAAGGAAGAGGAGGGAUGAAGAGAUGAAUGAAGGAGGGAGCGAAGAAGGAUUGAAGGGAAAGAGAGAGUGGACAUACCAAGAUUUAUAAAGAGAGAAAAAGGAAAAAAAGAUGGCGAAUGAGUGAAUGGAAAAAGAAGAGAAAGAAAGGAAGGAGGAAGGAAGGAAGGAAGGAAAGCUAGACUAAAGAAAGAUGGAGGAAGGGAAAGGAGGAAAAAGAAUUGAGGAGGAGGAGGAGGAGGAGGAAGAAAAUAAUUAAAGAAUAAAGAGAAAGAAAGAAACAAGAGAGAGAGAGAGAGAGAGAGAGAGAGAGAGAGAGAGAGAGAGAGAGAGAGAGAGAGAGAGAGAGAGAGAGAGAGAGGCACACAGGCACACUCCAAUAUUUUCUGACGCGGAGAAAGACGUGAGGGAGGGAAGGGAGAGAAGGAGGGAGGGAGAGAGAGAGGGGAGGGAGGGAGGAGUGACUGUCAGGGUGAAGAGACGCAGAGAUGGGAAAAAAAGUGAGAGAGAGAGAGAGAGAGAGAGAGAGAGAGAGAGAGAGAGAGAGAGAGAGAGAGAGAGAGAGAGAGAGAGAGAGAGAGAGAGAGAGUAUCGACAAGAGAAAAUAAAAUAAAAUUAUCUUUGUCAAUAAAAAAACGCAAGGAGAAGAAGAAGAAGAAGAAGAAGAAGAAGAAGAAGAAGAAGAAGAAGAAGAAGAAGAAGAAAAUAUAAAUCAGCUCUUCUUACUACGUCUUCCCCCUCCUGCAACACCUCCACAACAAACAAACAAACAAACAAACAAACAAAUAAUAAACAAACAGGAUAAAUCAAUAAGCGAACUAAACGCAGCAGUGACGCGCUAUAAGUACAACAACAAUGCGCUACUCGGCUCACAACAAAAGAACAUCGAGUUGGCGACGCGGCGGAAACAAAAGAAGCGAUAACAACAACAAUACCGUGAGAGAGAGAGAGAGAGAGAGAGAGAGAGAGAGAGAGAGAGAGAGAGGGGUGGGGGAUGGAGGUCUGUUGCUCGAAGAUGGACAUGCAAGCAAAGGACUUCAGAGUAUUUUCUUUCUUUCGCAACUGGAUUAGAGGAGGAGGAAGAGGAGGAGGAGGAGGUGAUGGAGAAGAAAGAAGAGAAGGAUAAGAUGGCCUAGCGGAGGAGGAGAAGGAGGAGGAGGUAAAGAAAACAAGAGGAGGAGGAGAUGAUGAUAAUGUAGAAAGAAAGAAGAAUUCAAAGAAGAAGAAAACAAAGAAAGUAAGCUGAGAAUAGAAAGACAAAAGAGGAAGAAAUAGGAGGAGAAGGAGGAGGAGGAAAAGAAAACAAGAGGAGGAGGAGGAGGAGAAGGUGAUGAUGAAGAAAGAAAGAAGGCUUGAAGGAAGAAGGAAACAAAGAGAAAGCCUAGAAGACAAAGAAAAGAGGAAGAAAUAUGAGGAGGAGGGGGUGAAGAAGAAGAAUAAGAAAAAAGAAGAGAAAGAAGAUUUGCUGGAGGAGGAAGAAGAUUUGGAGGAGGAAGAGGAGGAGGAGGAGGAGGAAGAAGAAGAUUUGCAGGAGGAGCAGAAGGAAGGUGUGCAGGAGGUUGAGGAGGAGGAGGAGGAGGAAGACUUGAUAUAGGUGGAAGAAAGAAGAAGAUUUGGAGGAGGAGGAGAAGGAGGAAGAACAUUAGCAGGAGGAACAGAAGGAAGGUUUGCAGGAGGUUGAGGAGGAGGAGGCAGAUGAGAAGACUUGUAGGAUGAGUUGGAGGAGGAAGAGGAGAGAAGAAGAGAAAGAACAUUUGCAGGAGGAGGAGGAGGAGGAGAGAAGAAGAGAAAGAAGAUUUGCAGGAGGAGGAGGAGGAGGAAGAAGAGAGUUGCAGAAGGAGAAUGAAGGAUUGCAGGAGGAGGAGGAGGAAUCUUUGCAGGAGGUUGAGGAAGAGGAAAAUGAGAAGACUUGGAGGAUGAGUUGGAGUUGGAGGAGGAGGAGGAGGAAAAUUUGCAGGAGAGAAAACGAACGUAGAUAAAGUUUUCCUUAAGAGUUUGAAAAGUUGAUUAAGUUAGGAAAGAAAUCAAAGGCGGGGAGGAGGAGGAGGAGGGAGAAUAGGUAUAAUGCAUUUUUUUCCCCCGCAAGUUUUUGAGAGGGAGGAAAAAAAAGAAGCUGAGAUGAAAGACGGGAAGACGUCGAGAGAAAAGUGGAGGAGGAGGAGGAGGAGGAGGAGGAACAACAAAAAAAGGAAGAACAUAAAGAAGAGGAAGAACAAAAAGAAGAGGAAAAAGAAGGAUAUGAAGGAGAAGGAGAAGGAACAAAAAAAAAGAGGAGGAACAUUAGGAAGAGGAAGAACAAAAAGAAGAGGAAAAAGAAGGAUAUGAAGGAGAAUAAGGAGAAGGAGAAGGAACAAAAAAAAGAGGAGGAACAUUAGGAAGAGGAAGAACAAAAAGAAGAGGGAGAACAAAAAGAAGAGGAAGAACAAAAAGAAGAGGGAGAACAAAAAGAAGAGGAAAAAGAAGGAUAUGAAGGAGAAUAAGGAGAAGGA